GGCACGGUGGCUUUGUGGUUAGCACGUUUGCCUCGCAACUCCAGGUUGGGGAUUCGAUUCCCGCCUCUGCCC